rnacentral:lncRNA from 1 species
UAAAAAAGCUCAUAUUGCUACAACGAGUUGUGGAGUCUUGCAAGAGAUUUUGAAGUAAGAAUUCACAGUACAAAUUUUGCAUUGGUGAUUAAACGUACGUUUUUCUUGACUUCCAAAAAGGCUUCAAAAAUGAACAACCGCAUGGUAUAUUACACUGGCAAUGGCAACCAGACCCAAAAAACAACGGUUAGCUAUCGAGAGUCUACACGCGCUACGAAAAAUACCAUAACGCAUACUUAUGAGAAGAAGAUAACACACGUGGUUAAAGAGCCGAUUUCAAAUUAUAAUGGGCACAAUAAUAACUACAAUAGCAAUCGCGCGCUUCCUGGACCCAGCUAUAAUAAUAAUAAAAAUUAUUAUUGAUGCAAGAAAGAAAUUUUUUAAUGUUUUUUUACCAAUGAUGUAAUAAAAAAUAUAAAAGCGUCGAGGAUUUAUACUUUUAUAGAAAUGUA